rnacentral:rRNA from 1 species
GAUGAACGCUGGCGGCGUGCUUAACACAUGCAAGUCGAACGAUGAAGCCCAGCUUGCCGGGUGGAUUAGUGGCGAACGGGUGAGUAACACGUGAGUAACCUGCCCUUAACUCUGGGAUAAGCCUGGGAAGCUGGGUCUAAUACCGGAUAGGAGCGUCCACCGCAUGGUGGGUGUUGGAAAGAUUUAUCGGUUUUGGAUGGACUCGCGGCCUAUCAGCUUGUUGGUGAGGUAAUGGCUCACCAAGGCGACGACGGGUAGCCGGCCUGAGAGGGUGACCGGCCACACUGGGACUGAGACACGGCCCAGACUCCUACGGGAGGCAGCAGUGGGGAAUAUUGCACAAUGGGCGCAAGCCUGAUGCAGCGACGCCGCGUGAGGGAUGACGGCCUUCGGGUUGUAAACCUCUUUCAGUAGGGAAGAAGCGAAAGUGACGGUACCUGCAGAAGAAGCACCGGCUAACUACGUG